AGUGUAUUUCCUGCGUCCAACAAAAAUGUCUCAAGUUUGUUAAUAUUUUGGAUGUAUCCAGAUGUGAUUUAGUAUAUAUAGAUGCAUUCAAAUUUAGUUAAAGUUGAGACAUCCUUUGUUGGACGGAGGGAGUAGCUG
rnacentral:pre_miRNA from 1 species